CUGUUCGCUUUAACAGAUGACUCCAACCACAGAGCAGAUGGCAGCUGAAGGUUGAGAGUGAGAACCAGCAGCUACCGACUAUGACUAAGAGUGUGGAGAUGAAGCUGGCGGUCGGCGGGGAAGGUCGUCCACGAAGCCAAUACGUCGCUGUGGGUGCCGCAGGGUUUCCAUCUUUGUCAGCGAUGCACUUCCAGGACUUGCGAUCUCUGGCCUUGACCUUUGCUUGCUUGAGGGUUAAACGUCAUUGUUGAAGAUUGUCGUCAGUUUGCUUGAUCCAAGUCUUCUUGGGAGCGUCACGCUUGAUUCUCUAGUGGGUGGCCAAACCAUUGCAGUCGUCGCUUCUGGAUCAGCUCUUCCAUCUAGGGCUGAUGGUGACAUUGACUACGCAUCGUGCUGUUGCUGAGACGGUCACGGGGGGACACCCGGAGAAUCUGAUGCAAACAGCGUAUGUGGAAGACCUCAAGCUUGUUGAGGUCGUGCUUGAGGAUGACCCAGGUCUCGGAUCCAUAGAGAAGAAUGGGCAAUACUAGUGUGCGGUACAGGAGAAUUUUGGUGAUGAGGGUGAAGUUCGUCUUACGUGCUUCAUCUACCACACCUUACCUAUGUUUCUAUAUAUUCAUACAAGCAGCAUAAGAUGUAGGAUAUUCUGCCUUCUUCUUUCGAACUCUCAAUUCUUGUUGUUCUUUACGGGACUGUUUAUUUGCACUUAACCAAUGCCUGAUCAAACCUGAUUGGUCAAUACUGCAAGCCACAACAGAAAAGUUCCAGUAGCUCACAUUCUGCUGUUUGCCUACAAAUUCAGCGUGUUCCUGUGACGAUAUAGACAUUACUGCGUUUGGAAAACUUAGUUAUCCCUGUCAAAACCACAGGCCAGCUGGUUUCUUGCUAUGUUGAAUUUACACGUUACAUAUAAGUUAGGUUGAAUAUAAUAAUUUUAGGUGUAUUUGUGAAUGCUUGUCUCUCUUUGCCAUUUGCCUUGUGAUUGAUUGGUGACCUGUCCAAGGUGUACCUGGCUUCUCUCACCCUAUGACACCUGAGAUAGGCUCUUUGACCCUGAAACAGUAAAGAAAAUGGAUGGAUGGAUGGGUGGAUGGGUGUUGACUGUAUAAAUGGCAUCCAUGGAGCUUUUUUUUUUAGAUAAAAGACAAAAGACAGAGCCGAAAAGGAUAGUAAAACCCAGAGUACCAAGUCAAUCUUAAUUUUAGGAUAUUUU